UAUUCGGCGCUAAAUCAAGCAAUUAAUGUCGCAUGGAUAUAUCUUCUUGAUUUAUUCGACCAGCCUGAUUUGGAGACCUUCCACACCAUAAAGACAACUCCAAAACGUCACUACUUCAUGCCAAAGUUGUCUAGAUACAAAGAACUCUCACAUUUUCCUCAUUUGGCCCAAAAUCGAGCAUUAAAGGCCAUAUCAAUCAAACCUUUGAUUGAUUUAUCAUUUAGUUUAAUUUAUUUGUAUUUAUGUUGAUUUAUUUUCUCAUUUAUUGUUUUAAAACAUUUGUGUACGAGCCUAUAUAAGCUCAUCUCAUGUCAUUGUAAAAGACACCCUUGAAUUUGAAAGAAAUAGA
rnacentral:lncRNA from 1 species